rnacentral:tRNA from 1 species
GCCGGCAUAGCUCAGUUGGUAGAGCAGCUGCCUUGUAAACAGCAGGUCCCCAGUUCGAAUCCGGGUGCCGGCACCA